GAAACCAAAACGGCAGGUCGAACGAGAGACCUUCGGGUCUCUAGUGGCGAACGGGUGAGUAACACGUAGGGAACCUGCCCGCGCACCGGGAAUACGCUCUGGAAACGGAGAACAAAUCCCGAUGUACAGGAAGGAGGCAUCUUCUUUCUGUGAAACAUCCUUUAGGGGAUGGGGCGCGGAUGGACCUGCGGUGCAUUAGUUGGUUGGCGGGGUAAAGGCCCACCAAGACGAUGAUGCAUAGCCGGCCUGAGAGGGCGGACGGCCACAUUGGGACUGAGACACGGCCCAGACUCCUGCGGGAGGCAGCAGUAGGGAAUUUUCGUCAAUGGGCGCAAGCCUGAACGAGCGAUGCUGCGUGAGUGAAGAAGGCCUUCGGGUCGUAAAGCUCUGUUGCGGGGGAAAAAAGGCAGCAUCAGGAAAUGGGUGCUGACUGAUGGUGCCCCGCCAGAAAGUCACGGCUAACUACGUGCCAGCAGCCGCGGUAAUACGUAGGUGGCGAGCGUUAUCCGGAAUGAUUGGGCGUAAAGGGUGCGCAGGCGGUCCUGCAAGUCUGGAGUGAAACGCAUGAGCUCAACUCAUGCAUGGCUUUGGAAACUGGAGGACUGGAGAGCAGGAGAGGGCGGUGGAACUCCAUGUGUAGCGGUAAAAUGCGUAGAUAUAUGGAAGAACACCAGUGGCGAAGGCGGCCGCCUGGCCUGUUGCUGACGCUGAGGCACGAAAGCGUGGGGAGCANAUAGGAUUAGAUACCCU
rnacentral:rRNA from 1 species